GACUUGUUUCCUGAACGCAGGAAUGUCUCUUAGUUGUGACUAUAAGGACCUUGUCAGUGCUUUAGAUGAACAGAAAUUCUGGGCUUCUGAAAACUCACCAGGACGUAGACGUAGAUCAAUCUCUCCAUUUGCUUUCAGUACCCCUAAUCCUGGUACUGGAUCAAGAAUUUCUAGAUUCUUGCUUGCUCUUGUCCCAAGUCGCCAUCACAGGAAGUAGGGCGGAUGGUGUUCCUAAUUCUUGCAUAAUUAGCAGACGAAUACAAGACUUAAUCAUCCAAAGAAUGAAGGAAAAGACAAAGUUUUUAUAUUUGAAAUCAUUAUUCUGCAGAUUAAUUUAAAGUUCCUUAAGGAAAACUGGUUAAUGUAACUGAUAUUUGGAAAUCAAUUAAAUAUAUGCUUGAAAGGCAAAUGGACUUCA